ACGAACGCUGGCGGCGUGCUUAACACCUGCAAGUCGAACGCUGAAGCUCAGCUUGCUGGGUGGAUGAGUGGCGAACGGGUGAGUAACACGUGAGUAACCUGCCCUCUUCUUUGGGAUAACGCCCGGAAACGGGUGCUAAUACUGGAUAUUCACUGAUUCUCGCAUGGGGGUUGGUGGAAAGGUUUUUUCUGGUGGGGGAUGGGCUCGCGGCCUAUCAGCUUGUUGGUGGGGUGAUGGCCUACCAAGGCUUUGACGGGUAGCCGGCCUGAGAGGGUGACCGGUCACAUUGGGACUGAGAUACGGCCCAGACUCCUACGGGAGGCAGCAGUGGGGAAUAUUGCACAAUGGGCGAAAGCCUGAUGCAGCGACGCCGCGUGAGGGAUGGAGGCCUUCGGGUUGUAAACCUCUUUCGCUCAUGGUCAAGCCGCAGCUUUGGGUUGUGGUGAGGGUAGUGGGUAAAGAAGCGCCGGCUAACUACGUG
rnacentral:rRNA from 1 species